GAUGAACGCUGGCGGCGUGCCUAAUACAUGCAAGUCGAGCGAACGGACGAGAAGCUUGCUUCUCUGAUGUUAGCGGCGGACGGGUGAGUAACACGUGGAUAACCUACCUAUAAGACUGGGAUAACUUCGGGAAACCGGAGCUAAUACCGGAUAAUAUUUUGAACCGCAUGGUUCAAAAGUGAAAGACGGUCUUGCUGUCACUUAUAGAUGGAUCCGCGCUGCAUUAGCUAGUUGGUAAGGUAACGGCUUACCAAGGCAACGAGGCAUAGCCGACCUGAGAGGGUGAUCGGCCACACUGGAACUGAGACACGGUCCAGACUCCUACGGGAGGCAGCAGUAGGGAAUCUUCCGCAAUGGGCGAAAGCCUGACGGAGCAACGCCGCGUGAGUGAUGAAGGUCUUCGGAUCGUAAAACUCUGUUAUUAGGGAAGAACAUAUGUGUAAGUAACUGUGCACAUCUUGACGGUACCUAAUCAGAAAGCCACGGCUAACUACGUG
rnacentral:rRNA from 1 species